UGGGGAAUCUUAGACAAUGGGGGAAACCCUGAUCUAGCCAUGCCGCGUGAGCCGAUGAAGGCCUUAGGGUUGUAAAGCUCUUUCAGCUGGGAAGAUAAUGACGGUACCAGCAGAAGAAGCCCCGGCUAACUCCGUGCCAGCAGCCGCGGUAAUACGGAGGGGGCUAGCGUUGUUCGGAAUUACUGGGCGUAAAGCGCACGUAGGCGGAUUAGUCAGUCAGAGGUGAAAUUCCCAGGGCUCAACCCCUGGAACUGCCUUUGAUACUGCUAGUCUUGAGGUCGAGAGAGGUGAGUGGAAUUCCGNGUGUAGAGGUGAAAUUCGUAGAUAUUCGGAGGAACACCAGUGGCGAAGGCGGCUCACUGGCUCGAUACUGACGCUGAGGUGCGAAAGCGUGGGGAGCAAAACAGGAUUAGAUACCCCUGGUAGUCCACGCCGUAAACGAUGAAUGCCCAGUCGUCGGGUUGCAUGCAAUUCGGUGACACACCCUAAACGGGAUUAAAGCAUUCCGCCUGGGGAGUACGGUCGCAAGAUUAAACCUUAAUGAAUUGACGGGGUCAUAGCUGUUUCCUG
rnacentral:rRNA from 1 species